rnacentral:lncRNA from 1 species
GAAGUGGCCAGAGCCACCUGGCUGAGCUACUCAGCUGAUCAUAUCUUUCUUCCUUUACGGUGACCCACUUCCUGGUUGCUGAGAUGGCUUCGGAGCUGGCACGGUGCCCAGAGGCCUGAAACAAGGGACAGGUGACAGACACUAUUUCCUUAGAGUUCCCUUUCUGUCAUUCCCUCACGUGUACCCUAACCCUCAUGUCCAUAAAGCCAGAACCAGAGACCUAUCAUUACCAGAUUCUGACCUGUGGUCACAUUUAACUCGUCCAACUGUGUACUCAGCCCUUUGCUCACAGAAUUUAGUGUCUUUGGUAUUGAGUGCAAUGUUGGGCCAUGGGACAUCGCGAUGAAGUUGACAUCCUCAGUCCCCAAAGAGCAGGUACACUUGAAAGAGGUCUCACCCAUGAGUGGCAGUUAGGAAGGGAAACCAAGAGGGCAUGGACUUUGGCAGGAAGUGCUUCAUGUGUAAAUUCUAUCCUGAGACGGAGGGCAGUGGAGAAAGUUGCCAUCCCUACCAGUCAUGACGAGCCCCCGGACUUGGGCAGUGCUCUUUGUCUUCUUAUUGUAUUUGACUUCAGAGUCCCCGUCUGAGUGUGCAGUGUGUCUGUCAAAGGACCCAGGUUAUCUUUUUCCCUUCAUGCCUAGGACAAAGAACUUGGAACUCCCGAGAGAGCAUUUUGCUCCUACAAAUGAUCAGAUACUGAAGUCCCAAGUAAUAGAUCUUGUUCCACUGGCUCCUGGAUCGAGUUCUCUGCUCCUGCCUUUCCCCAUGCAGUUUGUGCAGUAAUGGCCCAGUGCCAAGAGGAAGUGUAUCACGCCCCCACCCCACCCAGACAUGCUUGUUCCCCUGAAAAUCACGUUUGUGUCAUCAUCAUCAUCAUCAUCAUCAUCACCAUCACCAUCACCAUCACCAUCACUUGUCUUUGUCUUUCAUUUGCCUUAUUUUCCUUCUAAGCAGCGCUCAAUUCCUAGUAGUCUCCCGAGCAGUUGGUAAAGAGUCUCGAAUGAGCCACUUCCUCAAAGCACUCGUGCCUGCCAGAGCUCCCGGAAUGUUCCGCUAGUGACUAGUGUCAUCCCGGAAAGCUGAAACAGGGUGACAACAACUCUGCCCCACGAAGCUCAGGUUCGUCUCCCCUCCCAGGUUGAGCACAUUUCAAAGUCCUGAGAGUUUAGCAGGCUGGGGCCUUGACUUUACUGUGGCUGUGGGGAGCGGUAAGUUGGUUUCUAGAAUUUCCAUAGUGCCACAUCCAGACACUUCUGAGUUCUUCUACCUCACAGGGACGGUGUGAGGCUAUAGAAGGCCUCGGGGUGAGGCCCCUUGGCUCUUCAUAAGAAGGAUGAACUAAAAUAAUAAUCCCAGUCUGCAAGCCGAUAAAAUACAGUUAGAAGUCUUUUGUGCAGCAGUUUACCCAGAUGCUCUCUGCCUUUUACGUGGAUCCUCGUGCCUUUCAGUAACUGCAGAACCCUGGAGGCAACCUGGGGCCAUUCGGAUGCUUAGUGUAGAGGUACCUGGCAAACCCCUGCUAUCCAUGCCCUGAACAAAUUGCUGAAUUUCCAAGGAAAUAUAUCCCCCUUUUUAAGGAUGUACAAAAGUGUGUCUACAUUGAUGUCUGUACUGUAAAUUUCUAAUUUAUCACUGUAUUAAAAAACUUGCUAUUUAAUUUUUGUAUUAAAGGAAAAUAAAGUUUUGUUUAUUGACAGGUG